rnacentral:rRNA from 1 species
CCCUGCUUGCAGGGUACUCGAGUGGCGAACGGGUGAGUAACACGUGGGUGAUCUGCCCUGCACUUCGGGAUAAGCCUGGGAAACUGGGUCUAAUACCGGAUAGGAGCCAUUUUUAGUGUGAUGGUUGGAAAGUUUUUUCGGUGUAGGAUGAGCUCGCGGCCUAUCAGCUUGUUGGUGGGGUAAUGGCCUACCAAGGCGGCGACGGGUAGCCGGCCUGAGAGGGUGGACGGCCACAUUGGGACUGAGAUACGGCCCAGACUCCUACGGGAGGCAGCAGUGGGGAAUAUUGCACAAUGGGCGCAAGCCUGAUGCAGCGACGCCGCGUGGGGGAUGACGGCCUUCGGGUUGUAAACUCCUUUCGCUAGGGACGAAGCUUUUUGUGACGGUACCUAGAUAAGAAGCACCGGCUAACUACGUGCCAGCAGCCGCGGUAAUACGUAGGGUGCGAGCGUUGUCCGGAAUUACUGGGCGUAAAGGGCUCGUAGGUGGUUUGUCGCGUCGUCUGUGAAAUUCCGGGGCUUAACUCCGGGCGUGCAGGCGAUACGGGCAUAACUUGAGUACUGUAGGGGUAACUGGAAUUCCUGGUGUAGCGGUGAAAUGCGCAGAUAUCAGGAGGAACACCGAUGGCGAAGGCAGGUUACUGGGCAGUUACUGACGCUGAGGAGCGAAAGCAUGGGUAGCGAACAGGAUUAGAUACCCUGGUAGUCCAUGCCGUAAACGGUGGGCGCUAGGUGUGAGGGUCUUUUCACGACUUUCGUGCCGUAGCUAACGCAUUAAGCGCCCCGCCUGGGGAGUACGGCCGCAAGGCUAAAGCUCAAAGGAAUUGACGGGGGCCCGCACAAGCGGCGGAGCAUGUGGAUUAAUUCGAUGCAACGCGAAGAACCUUACCUGGGCUUGACAUACACCGGAUCGGGCUAGAGAUAGUCUUUCCCUUUGUGGCUGGUGUACAGGUGGUGCAUGGUUGUCGUCGGCUCGUGUCGUGAGAUGUUGGGUUAAGUCCCGCAACGAGCGCAACCCUUGUCUUAUGUUGCCAGCAUUUGGUUGGGGACUCAUGAGAGACUGCCGGGGUCAAC